UACAUAGGGUGCGAGCGUUGUCCGGAAUUAUUGGGCGUAAAGAGCUCGUAGGCGGUCUGUCGCGUCGAUCGUGAAAACUUGGGGCUUAACCCUGAGCUUGCGGUCGAUACGGGCAUGACUGGAGUUCGGCAGGGGAGACUGGAAUUCCUGGUGUAGCGGUGAAAUGCGCAGAUAUCAGGAGGAACACCGGUGGCGAAGGCGGGUCUCUGGGCCGAUACUGACGCUGAGGAGCGAAAGCGUGGGGAGCGAACAGG
rnacentral:rRNA from 1 species